rnacentral:piRNA from 1 species
UAGAGCUAGACAGAUAGCAUGUAUUUCU